rnacentral:rRNA from 1 species
UACGUAGGGGGCGAGCGUUGUCCGGAUUUACUGGGCGUAAAGAGCGCGCAGGCGGCUGGUCAAGUCCGAUGUGAAAGCUCCCGGCUUAACUGGGAAAUUGCAUCGGAAACUGAUCGGCUGGAAGGUGGGAGAGGGUAGCGGAAUUCCCGGUGUAGUGGUGAAAUGCGUAGAUAUCGGGAGGAACACCAGUGGCGAAAGCGGCUACCUGGCCCAUUCUUGACGCUGAGGCGCGAAAGCUAGGGGAGCAAACAGG